CUGAAUCUGAAGAUCCUGAAGGCAAAAGAGGCAUCAGUAUGAUUAAGAAGCAUGCAGAGGAAGCUGUAAGGUACAAGAAGUACAAGUUCUCUGAGCUUGGACAAAGAAAACAGACUGGGUCCUACUUCCUCCUCUCCAGUUUACCUUGAUCUGCUGCUGCAGUUUUUUCAGUGUCUUGACAAGCUCGCUGUUGUUCCUGUUGGC